AUUGAACGCUGGCGGCAUGCCUUACACAUGCAAGUCGAACGGUAACGCGGGGCAACCCCUCGAGAGUGGCGAACGGGUGAGUAAUAUAUCGGAACGUGCCCAGUCGUGGGGGAUAACGUAGCGAAAGUUACGCUAAUACCGCAUACGAUCUACGGAUGAAAGCGGGGGAUCGCAAGACCUCGCGCGAUUGGAGCGGCCGAUAUCAGAUUAGGUAGUUGGUGAGGUAAAGGCUCACCAAGCCAACGAUCUGUAGCUGGUCUGAGAGGACGACCAGCCACACUGGAACUGAGACACGGUCCAGACUCCUACGGGAGGCAGCAGUGGGGAAUAUUGCACAAUGGGGGGAAACCCUGAUGCAGCCAUGCCGCGUGUGUGAAGAAGG
rnacentral:rRNA from 1 species